AAAUUAUGCUCCUUAUCUGAACAUGGGUGUUGUACCCUUCUGUUGCGUGAGUUUCUUUGUGCAGUCUGGUGUCUUUUUAUACUCCAGAAACAUGCAAGUAGCUAAAUUGAUAUCUUUAAGUUGCCCAUUGUGUGUAUUUGCCCUGCAAUAGGUUGACAUCCCAUCCAAGGUGUCUCUAGCCCUGUCUCCAAUGCUCUGCGUCAGCCUGUCCUGCAAUGAUAAUGAAGAUGUACGCACGGUGAUACUGUCCAACCCAGAUGAAGGAAUGGGAACCUUGAGGUUUACCAGCCUGAAAUGAUAAGUUGGAAAAACAGGCAGAUGAUGGAGUGAUCAUGCAGAAGAGAGACAAAAUGAGUUCAGGUCUCAGCUGGAAGCCUUUGGCUAGCUCAUGAAGAAAAAGGGUGUUCCUUUGUCACCUACUGAUCAUGAUGGGAAUGUCACCCUGACUGAAAUCACGCGUGGGCACCUCGGACCAAGGCUAACAGACUUUGGACCCACUGCGACCGUUAAUAAGACAAGCGGUUACAGAAGAUGGAUGGAUGGCAAGCAACCUUCAUGCGGAUAUCAUGCCAUCCUCACUGGUGUUCCAUGACCUUUGACCUCACAAGUUACCUGUCAGAUAUUCAUAAAAUCCUCUGCUUUAUGAUCCUCACCUUUGG